GAAGUGGUGGUUUAGUGGUAGAAUUCUCACCCUCCAUGCCAGAGACCGGGGUUAGAUUCCCAGCCAAUGCA
rnacentral:tRNA from 1 species